GACGAACGCUGGCGGCGUGCCUAAUACAUGCAAGUCGAGCGAAGUUUUUCUGUUGCUUGCUCCGGAAAAACUUAGCGGCGAACGUGUGAGUAACACGUAAAGAACCUGCCUCAUAGACUGGGACAACUAUUGGAAACGAUAGCUAAUACCGGAUAAUAGCAUUAACUGCAUGGUUGAUGUUUAAAAGUUGGUUUUGCUAACACUAUGAGAUGGCUUUGCGGUGCAUUAGCUAGUUGGUGGGGUAAAGGCCUACCAAGGCGACGAUGCAUAGCCGACCUGAGAGGGUGAUCGGCCACACUGGGACUGAGCCACGGCCCAGACUCCUACGGAAGGCAGCAGUAGGGAAUCUUCCGCAAUGGGCGAAAGCCUGACGGAGCAACGCCGCGUGAGUGAAGAAGGAUUUCGGUUCGUAAAGCUCUGUUGUUAGGGAAGAAUGAUUGUGUAGUAACGAUACACAGUAGAGACGGUACCUAACCAGAAAGCCACGGCUAACUACGUG
rnacentral:rRNA from 1 species